rnacentral:rRNA from 1 species
CAGCCGCCGCGGGAAUACGAAGGGUGCAAGCGUUAAUCGGAAUUACUGGGCGUAAAGCGUGCGUAGGCGGUUUGUUAAGUCUGUUGUGAAAUCCCCGGGCUCAACCUGGGAAUGGCAAUGGAUACUGGGUCACUAGAGUGUGGUAGAGGAUAGUGGAAUUUCCGGUGUAGCUGUGAAAUGCGUAGAGAUCGGAAGGAACAUCUGUGGCGAAGGCGACUAUCUGGGCCAACACUGACACUGAGGCACGAAAGCGUGGGGAGCAAACAGGAUUAGAUACCCCCGUAGUCCCUGUCUCUUAUAC